GAUGAUACACGUGUGAUCCAACAGUAUAUAAUAGGCCUCACUGUUGAGUGAGAGGGGAGUUUCUGCAAAAGGCGGGAAAGAGCGUCAUCCCUAACCCCCAAAAUCUACAGAGCAUCAUCUUCUCCGAGCUCAAUCAAAAAUGGGUAUUAAGGGUUUAACGAAGCUUUUGGCGGAUAAUGCCCCAAAGUCCAUGAAAGAGCAAAAAUUCGAGAGCUAUUUUGGCCGUAAGAUCGCUGUGGAUGCCAGCAUGAGCAUAUACCAAUUUCUCAUUGUUGUGGGAAGAAGUGGGACUGAGAUGUUGACCAAUGAAGCUGGUGAAGUUACUAGUCAUUUGCAAGGUAUGUUUGCGAGGACAAUUAGACUUCUGGAGGCCGGAAUUAAGCCAGUCUAUGUUUUUGACGGGAAACCUCCAGAGUUGAAAAAGCAAGAACUGGCGAAACGGUAUUCAAAGAGGGCAGAUGCAACCGAGGAUUUGGCUGCGGCCAUGGAGUCUGGCAACAAGGAAGACAUUGAGAAAUUCAGCAAACGGACUGUGAAAGUGACGAAGCAGCACAAUGAUGACUGCAAAAGGCUUUUAAAGCUCAUGGGUGUUCCUGUAAUUGAGGCUCCUUCAGAAGCAGAAGCACAGUGCGCUGCACUUUGCAAAUUGGGGAAGGUUUAUGGUGUGGCUUCUGAAGAUAUGGAUUCUUUAACAUUUGGAGCUCCUAGAUUUCUGCGCCAUUUGAUGGAUCCUAGCUCAAGAAAAAUCCCAGUCAUGGAAUUUGAAAUUACAAAGAUUUUGGAGGAACUAAAUCUUACCAUGGAUCAGUUCAUUGACUUGUGCAUUCUUUCUGGAUGUGAUUAUUGUGACAGCAUCCGAGGUAUCGGAGGACUGACUGCAUUGAAGCUCAUCCGUCAACAUGGCUCCAUAGAGAAUAUACUGGAGAACAUAAACAAAGAGAGGUAUCAAAUACCAGAUAAUUGGCCGUAUCGAGAGGCUAGGCAGCUUUUUAAAGAGCCGCAAGUCUAUACUAAUGAAGAGGAACCUGAGAUUAAGUGGACUGCUCCAGAUGAAGAAGGAUUGAUUACCUUUUUGGUAAAUGAGAAUGGAUUCAACAGUGACAGAGUGACUAAGGCAAUAGAAAAAAUUAAAGUGGCGAAGAACAAGUCAUCACAGGGCAGAUUGGAAUCAUUUUUCAAGCCAGUUGCUAAUCCAGCCGUACCAAUUAAGCGGAAGGGAAGCAAAUGUGUGCUAAGAUCGCCUAAACCAGCCUUGAAGCCUAAAGUGUUCUCUUUGAAAGCAUGUAAUUCAUUUGGGAACAAGAGCAUUGGCGGUUUGGGCCUGGCAAUAUUAGAUCUGGGUUUCAAGUACCCUAUGCCACUAUCCAAAGGUGUUUGCUUUGCCGGUUGAAGUUGAAAUCCUGGUGACCUUCAAAGCCACUCCUUACUAAAUUCCUUUGCAAUUCAAUAUAUUUAGCACAAAAUGGUGGUGUAAUUCACACACGUUUUUUUUUCUUUCCACAAUUUGACUUGUUAUUUUUCAUACCGCACUUGUAAUGGGAUGAUGUAAAAUCUAGCUUAUAACUCUAGCCUUUUGAGCUCAAGAAUGUGGACUCUUUUGCCAGUCAUUUGGAUUCUGGUAUUGAGAACCAGCUACGGUCCUGUGUUUUCUGAUAUACUUGUAUCUCCUUGGGUUUUCUUGUUUGCAGCAAAUAGAUGUCUGUUUUGUAGGUUUGUUCUUAAGAUAUAUCUGCAGAAGUCUUUGGACCCAUCAUUGGUUGGAUCAAUCAAUUCUCAACUUUCAACUUGUUUUGCUUGUUCUUUGGCAGGAAACACCCGUGAACACUGCUUCUAAAGCCGCCAGUAACAAGAAAUCAAAAGC